GUCUCUUUGGAGACAUCCGAUAAAAUUGGAAUGAUACAAAGAAGAUUAGCAUGGCCCCUGCGUAAGGAUGACACACAAAUCGAGAAACAAUUAGGCUCAAUUC
rnacentral:snRNA from 1 species